ACCGCGCAGUUGGAUUCAGUUACAGUGAGCGCCAGGAUGGCAACAUAAAAAAAAAAAUCUAACGGAACAACUGAGACGGGAGAACGCUGUGAGGUUUUUACGACGUGCGAAUAGCAAGCCAUAGAAAUAACCUCGACAGGAAAAAAAAAAAAAAAAAAGAGAGAGAAGAAAAUCAAGAUGCCAGGCAGCGCGAGAGGCAUCCGGGGGUCAAGUUCACGCGGCAGCGGAUGCGCGCGGGCUCCAGGAGCAGCUGGCCGGAUGAAGUGAGACUCGGCGCGCAGCGGCAGCAGCGUGCCACGGGACGGCCACGCAUUUCGGAUCGGACCUCGGUGGGAAUCAUUUCUGGGGACAAAACAACUCGGCCACCUUCUCUCCCCCUCACCCCCCCUCCCACGGCACAUCAAUGAGGAAUGUGACUGUGUCUGUCUCUGUCCAGACGGGCUUGAUGAAGCCCUCGGCGGUGUCAUGCGUCUUGCCCCGCAGCCAACAAGCGCGCAACCCCUGCGGCUCGUAGUGUUCCUCGCGCUCCUCCUGGGCGCCGGGGUCGUGCCGUCCCCGGUGAUCUCCGCCGGCUGCCCGGACAGGUGCGUGUGCGACGACCAGCUGGUGGUCCAGUGCGCAGGGCAGCACCUGGUCGCCUUCCCGGUCGACCUGCCGCUGGCCACGCGGCAGCUCAUCAUCUCCAACAACCGUAUCGCGGAGCUGCCGCCGCUGGCGCUCAACUACCUGUCCGACCUGGUCUACCUGGACUGCAGCAACAACUCCCUGACCGAGGUGUCCGAGUCCACCUUCGGGAACCUGCGCAAGCUGGCCUACCUGGACCUCUCCUUCAACACCUUGCGCCGGAUCGAGGACCGGACGUUCGGGCCCCUGGCCAGCCUGGUGAUGCUGAGGAUGACGGACAACCCGGGGCUCUCCGACAUCCACCCGGACGCCUUUUCGGAGAACGAGGCGCUGCAGGUGCUCGACGUUAGCCGGAACAACCUGACGGCGCUCAACAUCACGUCGCUGCUUGCGCUGGCCGCCCUGCGCUCAGUGGGGCUCGGCGGGAACCCGUGGAGCUGCCAGUGCGACAACGAGGACCUCUGCCUGUGGGUCCACCUGGAGACCUUCAAGUUCCAAGAUGAGGGCCAGACAGUGUGUGGUUCGCCGGCUGACAUGCAAGGUCGCCGUCUGAGUGAGGUGGGCAUCCAGCUGCGGACGUUAUGUCACCAGACACUGGACUCCUGGGACUACCUUUUCUUCGUUGUCAUCGGCUUCGUCAUCUUCGCCGCCGGGACGGUGUCGGCGUGGCUGAUGGGCGUCGUCAUGGUGCUGUACGAGCGCUACAUCAAGAAGAAGGACGAUCAGCUCGAACUGGAGAACGAGGAGGAAGGAACCUUCUGACGGUGGCGUUCCUCUGAUGCUCUACAAACAAAAAAACAGAAAGUUGGACUUCCCUUGAGGUGGAAGCCCAGAAGGAUGGAGAGAACUUCCUGGAGCCGCAGUUUUCUCAGGAGACGUACAUCCAGAUAACACCAGACCACCGUGACGGACAGGUUUUUUUAAAAUCCAAUCAGGGUAUUCCUCAGAGGAAAAAGAAUCAAUCACAACCAACAAGUCAAAAAUACUCCAGGAAGUGACAAAUUACAAAAAUAAAAUAUAUAAAAAAAAAAGGUAGGAUUUUUGAAAAACACAAGAAAACAUGAUACACUUUAAGUUUGUAGGCUAAUGAGAUGUAGUUAAGCAAAUAAAUAUGCUUAAUUUAUGUGUUUCAGGUAACAUUUCUACAUUUAUUGAGCUACUAGUCUAUGAUGUGACCCUCCAGGUCGGCUCACAUCCCCUACACUUUUGAGAAGCGUGCUGCACCAUUGCACACUGGGAAUUAUUUCAGUCAGGACUGUUUUCACAUCCAUACUCCAGUGAUACUGCAGGACUGUUAGUAACAGUUAUAUUAAGUGGCUAAACUAAAUUUCAGUAUUGUGCACUUUUAACUCCCCCUCAAUCCUUCCCAUAUUUAGGCACAUGUCUGAAUGUGCUUUAACACACAGACCUGAAAGCGUCAGUCCUGCCUCCAGCGUGAAUCACCUCUGGAUGGAACAUUGUGUAAAAGGACUAGCUAGCGCUGGCCAGAAAGCCCACGCUGUAAACAUCUAGCUGUGAAGUUUAACACUGAUCAUCUGUUGCCUUUCUGAACUCAGAAAGAGCGACUUCCAUGUUGCUCUGCUAAAGCUAAAGCCGGCAGCUGGUUAGCUAGCAGGAAGAGAAAUGAACAGGCUAACUCGAUUACUAAUUUGAGUAAAGAGCUCUUUUUUUUUUUCAAAUUAACCUAAAUAAAAUCUACUGAACAGGAGUUGUGAAGCUCACUUUGUAACUUUAAUCUUCUACUUUAUGGUGAAAGGCGCUAACAAUAAAAGUUAAUCAUCGUUAUGGUCCCAAACCAGAAAGAUUGAGCCGAGAAGUUCAGAGGUCACACUUUUUUUGCCCCCAAAUAUGUGGAUAAUAGUGAAUAAGUUAACUGAGUGUCGCCUACAGUAAUGUGAGAACUACAACGGUCAGUCUCAGUGGAGAAAGCACAUUUGCGCCAACGUUACAUUUUUCUAGAAAAAACAAGAACAUUUCUGAGCUUCAAAAUUUAAGUUUACUAUAAAAAACUCAGAAAUAUCUUUGUUUCCCCCCCCAGAAAAUUUCUGAGAUUACUCUCAAAUUUUUCAAAGUUUUUUGGAAGAAUUUUCCUCCUCCUGUUGUUUUCUAUCUACAUUGGCCCUAAUACAGUGUCAUACAAAUAUCUGACCGUUCUUUGUUAGUGCUUUUUUUUUCCUUCUUUUAAGUCCAGUGAAUACAUUGUCAUCUGCAUAGAUUAAACCAAUAUGUUAACUUCUGACUUAAAAACGUGAGUAAGAAAGUUGCAAACACGAAAAGGAUGCCAUCCAGAAACCAAAACAUGGAAGGCUGGAGGUCGUUGGGGUCAAGCAGAGUGUGAAAAAUGGUUGUAUUUUCAUCCGGGGUCGUGGUUCGAAUGCCCUUCGGGACUAAGAUGUGCUCAUCUGGCAUUGUUCACCUCAGCAGCGAGGCUUUGGCUGUGAGCCUGCUCAGAGAACGGAGGAAGAAACACGCAAACGGUGAUUGGAUCCAGAUUUUCUCUGCUUUCUCCGCCAGGAUUGAAACGCCCUGUGGUCAGAAAAUGGUUAGAGUGGAUCUAAUUGUCCGACAAAUCUAUUUGGAAACAUGCUCACUCACGCAGACGCUGAAGGAAAAUGGGUUGUGUGAGGUGUUGAGGAAUUAUACACUGAAGUUCUAGAGCCUGGAUCCGUCUGUUUCAGUCAUUUGGGAGAGAUUUCAUCAUUGAUCUGUUCCACUUAUAAAUGAUAUAAAUGAUAGGUUGACUCUCGGCGGGGUCCAACCCCGACACGCAGCUGCACUAAGCUGGAACAGGAACACUCAGGAAAAGCUGCGACAGCUGAGUGUGAUGUAUCUUUUAUGGCUGAAACUUGCAAAAACUAUUUGCCUUAAAAUGACCUUAAAAUCACAGACUUCUAUAUUCUUUCACACCAAUAAACACAAAAUCUUAAGUGAUUUUGGUCUAAUUUCUGGUGCAAGACUCUUAGUAGGCUUGAGCUAAGACAAAAUUAACUUCCAGCAAGAUAUAUGUUUGUUUCAUGUCAAUAACUUAGUAAUAUUGUUGAAAAAAUUAGCCAAUUAUAGGCAAUUAUUUCACGCACAAUAUGGGGAAAAUGUCUUGUUCAAAGUCGGUUUCCAUGGUGAUGCAUGUUCGU